rnacentral:lncRNA from 1 species
UCACUAUUCUGUGAAAUAGUGUGAUAAUAAUUGUAAUGAGGACUCCUUUUGAGUUUGUAUAAUCUCUAGUAGAUAAUAUUUGUAUUCAAACUCACAGUUUAUGUUUUGUCGUAUUGUACAUGACAAUUGUAUUAGUAAGUUGUAUUUGAAUUCUGUACCAUAUAAGUGGCGACCCAAGAUGGGUGAAGUAUACCUAAUUUUGGGGGCAUCACAAUAUGC